rnacentral:rRNA from 1 species
UUGAAACACCGGUUCUCAUACAAUCACCGAAGUUAAGCAAUAUGAAGCCUGGUCAGUACCUAGAUGGGUGACCGCUUGGAAUACCAGGUGCUGUAAU